AAAUACUCAAAAUUACUUUGCAAUCUUUUCGAAUUGAACACAUUUAUUUAUUAAUUAACCAUGUCCAUAUUAGUUUAUUAUUUAUGUUCUGUAUGCACUAAUAAUCUAAUAUUGUUUACCUGGUUCUUUAGGUUAAAAAACAUUGAAAGAUUUAAAAAAAAAAAUUGUAUUUUUAUUAUGAUUUUUUUAAUAUUACCCUCACUAAUUGAAUAAUUGUGUAUAAUACAUUGUUAUUGUUAUUAUUUAUGUGAGAAGAUAUUAUGUU